GCCGUGACGAUAACUCAGUGGGUAAAAGGUGAGAAGAUGGCAAAUCUGCGCGGGUUCGAAUCCCACUUGUGGCA